GACGAACGCUGGCGGCGUGCUUAACACAUGCAAGUCGAACGGAAAGGCCCUGCUUGCAGGGUGCUCGCGUGGCGAACGGGUGAGUAACACGUGGGUGAUCUGCCCCUUACUUUGGGAUAAGCCUGGGAAACUGGGUCUAAUACUGGAUAGGACCAUGCUGUAGGUGGUGUGGUGGAGAGAUUAGUUUCGGUAGGGGAUGAGCUCGCGGCCUAUCAGCUUGUUGGUGGGGUAAUGGCCUACCAAGGCGUCGACGGGUAGCCGGCCUGAGAGGGUGGACGGCAACGCUGGGACUGAGACGCGGCGCAGCCGCCGGCGGGAGGCAGCAGUGGGGACAAUUGCGAAACGGGCGCAAGCCGGAUGCAGAGAAGGCGCGUGGGUGAUGACGGCCUUCGGGUUGGGAACACCUUUCAGCUAUGACGAAGCGCUUGUAGUGACGGUAGUGGUAGAAGAAGCACCGGCUAACUACGUG
rnacentral:rRNA from 1 species